UAUGUCACUGCUUGUAGGAUCAAAAUUUCAUACCCAUUUCAGUGGGGUACGCCAAUAUUUAGGGCUAGCCAUGUGUUCGGGAUGAUAGGUGCUGCACUUGUUUCAUCUGCUGAGUCAACUGGAACAUUUUUCGCUGCAGCUCGGCUUUCUGGUGCCACAGCCCCCCAGCACAUGUACUCGGCAGAAGUAUUGGGUUACUGGGCCUUGGUAUGCUGCUUGAAGGGGUUUUUGGUUCUCUUGUUGGUACUACUGCAUCCGUUGAAAAUGUUGGCCUUCUUGGGCUUACGCAUAUAGGAAGCAGAAGGGUUGUGCAGAUUUCAACUGCUUUCAUGAUAUUUUUCUCUCCAUAUUUGGUUUGUUUUUUCUACUUUCUGAUUAAUUGCAUUGAAAAAUUUGCCAUA